CGAAACCGAUAGCGAACAAGUACCGUGAGGGAAAGUUGAAAAGUACUCUGAAUAGAGAGUUAAAUAGUACGUGAAACCGCUUAGGGGUUAAGCCCGAUGAACCCGAAUAUCUGAUGUGAGAAAUUCAAUACGAUUCAAAUUCAUAUUUUUAUAUUGAAUUUGUAUAGUAUGCACUUUUCUCAUAGUAAGACAUUGUAAUCCAUUGAUAUUAUAUCUCAUAUAUGAGAUGAUUUAACAUACGGACAGAAUGUUUAUGAUUAUUCUAUCAGUGAUAUGUUUACAUGUCAUAUGAAUAAAAUCGUUUUGUUUCCUGUUUAAAUAGUCGAUGGAUUUUUCAUUGAAAUCAUGCUUGCAAUUUAUUUUGCGUUUCGUAUCAUUAAUUUUUAAUUGUUGAUAGCAGAAAUGGCAUGUAUUCGAUUAACAAUGCGAUAGAUUUGGGAUACUUUCAGGACCCGUCUUGA
rnacentral:rRNA from 1 species